AGAGUUUGAUCCUGGCUCAGAUUGAACGCUGGCGGCGUGCCUAACACAUGCAAGUCGAGCGGUAACAGGUGUAGCAAUACAUGCUGACGAGCGGCGGACGGGUGAGUAACGCUUGGGAAUCUGCCUGUUAGUGGGGGACAACCCGGGGAAACUCGGGCUAAUACCGCAUACGCACUACGGUGGAAAGCCGGGGACCGCAAGGCCUGGCGCUAACAGAUGAGCCCAAGUCGGAUUAGCUAGUUGGUAGGGUAACGGCCUACCAAGGCGACGAUCCGUAACUGGUCUGAGAGGACGACCAGUCACACCGGAACUGAGACACGGUCCGGACUCCUACGGGAGGCAGCAGUGGGGGAUAUUGGACAAUGGGCGAAAGCCUGAUCCAGCGACGCCGCGUGGGUGAAGAAGGCCUGCGGGUUGUAAAGCCCUUUCGGUGGGGAAGAAAAGCCUCGAGCUAAUACCUCGGGGUCUUGACGUAACCCAUAGAAGAAGCACCGGCUAACUCUGUGCCAGCAGCCGCGGUAAUACAGAGGGUGCGAGCGUUAAUCGGAAUUACUGGGCGUAAAGCGCGCGUAGCGGCCUUGCAAGUCGGGUGUGAAAUCCCCAGGCUUAACCUGGGAACUGCAUUCGA
rnacentral:rRNA from 1 species